AUUGAACGCUGGCGGCAGGCCUAACACAUGCAAGUCGAGCGAGCGGCGGACGGGUGAGUAAUGUAUGGGGACUGCCCGAUAGAGGGGGAUAACUACCGGAAACGGUGGCUAAUACCGCAUACUAUCGGAUAACCCAUAUGGGAUUAGCUAGUAGGUGGGGUAAAGGCUCACCAAGGCGAUGAUCUGUAACUGGUCUGUGAGGAUGAACAGCCACACUGGAACGGAGACACGGCCCAGACUCCUACGGAGGCAGCAGUGGGGAAUAUUGGACAAUGGGCGCAAGCCUGAUGCAGCCAUGCCGCGUGUGUGAAGAAGGUCUUAGGGUGGUAAAGUACUUUAAGCGGGGAGGCGUUACCAGCAGAAGAAGCACCGGCUAACUCCGUGCCAGCAGCCGCGGUAAUAC
rnacentral:rRNA from 1 species